GUAAACGCCGUGUCUGUCCAGGACCACCUCGUGUCUGCAGGAGGGACAUCUGAAGCGGCCACCGGACGUCAGUGAGCCACUUCGGGUUGGAAGAGACUGCCUCCUUAUCUAUAAGUGACUAAUCUUCCACAGCCUUCACACGAGUGCGUGUUCGUCUUCUUUAAAGAACAACACAAGCAGCAGGCAUGUUCAAGGCCACUGACAACAAAUGACCCCAUACGUAGAACAAAAGGUUUUCAGACUUCAAGCUUCAGAAUAUCAUGACAUGACAUGAUUCCCAGGCCAUCAAGUGGAAAGCUUAGAUUCAUCGAUACACAGGUAGACAGAGACACAUGUCUCAUUUAUGAUUGAUGAUGUAU